AUUAAACGCUGGCGGCAUGCCUUACACAUGCAAGUCGAACGGCAGCACGGGGCAACCUGGUGGCGAGUGGCGAACGGGUGAGGAAUACAUGGGAAUCUGCCCAGUCGUGGGGGAUAACGUAGGGAAACUUACGCUAAUACCGCAUGCGCCCUUCGGGGGAAAGCCGGGGACCUUCGGGCCUGGCGCGAUUGGAUGAGCCCAUGUCGGAUUAGCUAGUUGGCGGGGUAAUGGCCCACCAAGGCGACGAUCCGUAGCUGGUCUGAGAGGAUGAUCAGCCACACUGGAACUGAGACACGGUCCAGACUCCUACGGGAGGCAGCAGUAGGGAAUAUUGGACAAUGGGCGCAAGCCUGAUCCAGCCAUGCCGCGUGAGUGAAGAAGGCCCUCGGGUUGUAAAGCUCUUUUGUCCGGAAAGAAAAGCGCCGGGUUAAUACCCUGGUGUCCUGACGGUACCGGAAGAAUAAGCACCGGCUAACUUCGUG
rnacentral:rRNA from 1 species